UGGACAAAACAAAAUGGUUUGUUUGUGCAAUAACCUGAUGAUAACGUUUAGAUUGCGUUAAGCCGCAUCGUGUCUUCUCUAACACAAUCCCACAGUCAGUGCUAUUAUUAUGUAAACCAGGUGAGCAUUUUGGUGAGAGGUAUUCAGAUAGGACCAAGGUCAGAAGGAAGAGGAAGAAGCUUCACGUGCCACAUUGCCACAAUUUCCACACGUAGACUGAAAUUUUGGCACUGAGAACUGAUGUAGUUUGUUAAGGAAAGUAUUUACUCAUAAAGAAGUGAGAAGAUUAUUCCAGCCGUCCAAAGGUCUGAACGCGUUAUUCCGUCUUAAACAAAGCAAGACGACAAAGCAGUGCCUCAUAACAACCGUCUACGAUGAGAAUGGACGCACUCCCAGAAAAGACAUCAGAUUCGUGUUCGCUAGCGCCCGCACCCAUGUCAACGUUGUCUUGUGUGCCGAAGUUUGUCGUAUAGUCAACUUGCAGGGUUGACAUUUGCUUUGGUUUGAAAUGUGUGCUUUGGGUUGUAAUAUUCUGCAUCAAAACGUGUAUCAAAUGAAGUGCAGCUUGUAACGAGUGGUUUUUUCAUGAAACUUCCGAUAAAAUGGACUAAAUCCAAGCGUCAACCUUGCACGUUGCUGGUUUAUUAUUAUACAUGUGUAAAAAAGUUGUAGUACAGCACUCUAUCCUCGCACGAUGUUUUUAUUGUAAUUUAAAUUUUUGUUUAGACCGACCAGUUUUCGAAUCUGAAACGACACUUUUGAGGUUAUACUAAAAUGUCUUGCUUAAGUGAUCUAUGAAAAUGAAAGUAAUUGUAAAAUUAUCAUUAAGUAAAGUCCAGGCAGAGCACAGUGCUAGUACGACCGGUUCAAUGUUUGAUUGUAAAAUUAUAUGUGUGGGCAAAUAUGUAAUAAGACGAUUUGUUGUGCACUUAAAAAUGCAUGAUUAUUCAUAUAAAAUUGAAUACAAAUAUUAAUUUUUAUGAAGUUAAAUUUAGAAAAGAAAAAUACAUAAAAUGCAUUCAGGAAUCUUUUAUUGUGGGUUCAUUGGAUGAAAUGAGCGAAACGUAAAUUUACAAUAAACUGUAAACGCUGUAAUCCAAAUUAUGACACUUUUAAGAGUUAUUGCAGAAUUGCCCACACGUAUUAAAACGGGACUUUCUAAAAUUAUGAAUAUGCGGUUAUGUCGCAUGGUAAGAAUAAACUUCCUUGGGUUCCCGGUAUUUUGAUAUACUAGUACUAUGUCUGAUCAGUGAUAGACCCAUAGUUUUAUUGCUGGGAGGGGGUAGAAAUGUUCGUUUUCAGAAAAUCAAAUCAGGGGUUGGGUUAGUUUUUAUCGCAAUUAACAAGUUUUUGUUAUUAAAGAAGGGAAAUUAACUUUAUACCUUCAUUACAAAGCGGAAAUAUUCACAAAGAGAAACUGUGAUUAGCAGAAAGUGUUUCCUUUUGCGUCAAUAAAAAUGUACAUGUAGAACUGGCAUUUAUCGCAUCUUUUACAAGUUGAAAUUUUGAAAAAUCCGAAACUAAAGUUGUCGCAAAGUUCUGAUUUGGGGGAAAUGGGUAUUUCCUAGUAAUUAAAGAAACUUGGUCAGUUAAUCGCCUAAAUUUU